rnacentral:lncRNA from 1 species
AUUGACAGCACAAUAACCCAGCAGUACAGCCUGUCUCCUGGCUCUGCUCUCAGCCCGGCGAGGUCAGUGAUUCUGGGGAGAAUCCAAGGUAUUGAAAUCACUGAUAAGGAACUGGUCAGGCUGGAUUGAGAGGGUUUAUUGGCUGCUUGUCCUCGGUGCAGUUUAAUCAGGCUACCCCUCUGAAGGCAGCCCUGCAAAACAGCCAAAGCCCGUUAGUUACUGUUAUCGGCCGCCUGGAAGCAUCAAGCUGUGGGACGGUAUCCAGCUCGAACACUUUGAGCGAUACACACACACGGUCAGAUGACUCAGCAAAAACAGACCAAGGCAAAGAUCCACUGAAAAAGGCUGAUCAAAAAGACUUGGCAGUAAUCGGAGGAGUAGUGGCUGCAGUGGUGUUCAUCACCCUCUGUGCGUUGGCUUUCAUCAUCCGCUUCCUGUAUCAUCACCGACGGACUCCAGCACCCCCCGUAAUCACCGGAAAGAUACAUCGACCCAGCAUGGAACAUCCUCCAUACCGGGCUGCACUGGACCUGCACAAACCCAACCACGACAGCAAAGAAUACUACAUCUGACCUCGCCAUCUCGUGCCUGGCCUUUAAUCGAACAGCCUGUCGCCAGUGUACAUGCUAACAAACCCACCACACUGUAUUAUCUACACUGCAAGUUGAGCAGCCAAUCACAGGCCAGCAAUGACCCAACAGGCACAAGAAAUUACAACAGAGACAUUUUUGUUUGUUUGCUUAUUCUACGAAGAGAGUCAAGCUUACAGGAACGUAAGCGUGCGCCGGCCUCCUGGAUGAUGACAGAGCUGUAUAUUGUUAUUUUACGGGCAUAAUAAUAGGUUAUACAUGCACAGCACACACACAUUCCAAGCAAACAGCACAGCAGGAGGGCUGAAGCAUCACUCUGAAUAGUCUUUAUCCAGUGUGCCUGCUCAAACUUGUCCGUCUCAGAGCCUGCAUAUAGAGUGGGCUUAAGCUAAUGGACUGAAACCCCAGCAGAGAGGGUUCUGAGAGAAUGGUUUUGUGGCAGAGCGGCAGACCUUCCCAGAUGUUGUUUUUAAAGGAUCGAUCAUCGCUCAACAUGUCCAAAAAAAAAAAGAUUAAAGACGUCCGCAUCCGACAACCCCGCAUUUGAUGUUGAAACUAUUGACUGGUGCAAGGAGCCACUAAAGUCUGGGAUUAACCACCAAAGGACUAUAAGAAUAUAUCAGCGGAGGAUGAGGGAUGGAAUAUGAGUCAUUUGUUUGUAUACCAAUUCCCACGGGCCGUGCAGAUUCAGGCAGUUUAAUUCUCUUUCCCACCGUAAUCGAGCUGGUCUCGCAACUGAGCGCCUGACUAGAAAAAAAACAAAAUAACACACACACACACAAAAAAAAGAAAAAAAGAAAAAGAAAAGAAAAAACACUUGCUUUCUAUUGAGAAUGAAUUAUAUGGCUGUUUUUUUUUUUUUUAUUUAUGACUACUGGUGUAUAUACAUUUCAUAAUUAUAUUUAAUAAAUUGAGCUUUCUAAGAGCUUAUGAGUGCAGAUGACCAAUGGUUUUGGUAUAUUUAUGCAGAAAUGAAAGUGUGUAUGGCAAUGUAUGGAAUACUGCACUCAGGCUUAACAUAAGGAUUGUUUCUGCUUCUUAAUACGGGCCAAAAG